rnacentral:rRNA from 1 species
AUGCCUAGUUUGGAAUCUAGGGAUUAUAAAUCUUACAGUGAAAAUCUUAGGAGGAGAGUUCCCUAUUCAAAAAUCUCUCAAUCUUUGUACCUUGAGGCUUUUGAGGAGUUUGAUAGGAUUACUAGCGGAAUUUAUGUGGGAUUUAAUAGGGAUUGGAUGAAUAAAAUGAUGAAAGAACACGUUAGAAACGAGCUACGUAUUCUAUAUGAUGAUAUACACGCCGAUGAUCCCGACUAUGGGUUUAUGAAUAUUAAAAUUACCAAUCAAAGUCCUUUCCAUGAUUUGGGUUUAUAUACUAGGAGGGAAAUAAAAGAAAGGAUGGAUUUGCUAAGACGAGUUUUGGAGGAUUUGAUGAUAAAAUAA